GAAAAUUUUGAUUAGUGAUCAUGACAAAAAUUUAGAAAAAUCAUAUAAUCCACUAUCCAGUGACAUAGUUUUUUCUUACUAUUGUCAACAAAUCUCCUCAUUGUCUGUUUCAUUAAGAGCCUCAGACUUGCGAUAUCCGAUUUCAAUAUACUUAUCUAAACUCCUCUCGAAUUCUUUCGAGCAGAGACCUCGUACUCUAAGUAAAUCUUUAAGCUCUUCU
rnacentral:misc_RNA from 1 species